UACGUAGGGUGCAAGCGUUAAUCGGAAUUACUGGGCGUAAAGCGUGCGCAGGCGGUGAUGUAAGACAGAUGUGAAAUCCCCGGGCUUAACCUGGGAACUGCAUUUGUGACUGCAUCGCUGGAGUGCGGCAGAAGGGGAUGGAAUUCCGCGUGUAGCAGUGAAAUGCGUAGAUAUGCGGAGGAACACCGAUGGCGAAGGCAAUCCCCUGGGCCUGCACUGACGCUCAUGCACGAAAGCGUGGGGAGCAAACAGG
rnacentral:rRNA from 1 species